rnacentral:rRNA from 1 species
CCUACGGGGGGCUGCAGUGGGGGAUAUUGCACAAUGGGGGAAACCCUGAUGCAGCGACGCCGCGUGUGGGAAGACGGUCCUCUGGAUUGUAAACCACUGUCCCCAGGGACGAAGAUGACGGUACCUGGGGAGGAAGCUCCGGCUAACUACGUGCCAGCAGCCGCGGUAAUACGUAGGGAGCGAGCGUUGUCCGGAAUUACUGGGGUGAAAGGGAGCGUAGGCGGGACUGCAAGUUGGGUGUCAAAUCUACCGGCGCAACCGGUAGCCGCACUCGAAACUGCAGUUCUUGAGUGAAGUAGAGGCAAGCGGAAUUCCUAGUGGAGCGGUGAAAUGCGUAGAUAUUAGGAGGAACACCAGUGGCGAAGGCGGCCUGCUGGGCUUUUACUGACGCUGAGGCUCGAAAGUGUGGGGAGCAAACAGGAUUAGAUACCCCUGUAGUC